GCCUGGCUGGCUCAGUUGGUUAAGUGUCUGACUUCUGCUCAGGUCAUGAUCUCAUCAUUUGUGGGUUCGAGCCCCACGUCAGGCU